AAUAGAUACCCCGGUAGUCCACGCCGUAAACGUUGGAUACUAGGUGUGGCGGUUAUACCAAUGACUGCCGUGCCGAAGCUAACGCAUUAAGUAUCCCGCCUGGGGAGUACGGCCGCAAGGCUAAAACUCAAAGGAAUUGACGGGUCCCCGCACAAGCGGCGGAGCAUGCGGCUUAAUUCGAUGCAACCCGAAGAACCUUACCUGGGUUUGACAUCACGGGAAAAGCUGUAGAAAUACAGUGUCCAUUAGGGCCCGUGACAGGUGGUGCAUGGCUGUCGUCAGCUCGUGUCGUGAGAUGUUGGGUUAAGUCCCGCAACGAGCGCAACCCUUGUCCUAUGUUGCCAGCGGUUCGGCCGGGGACUCAUAGGAGACUGCCGGGGAUAACUCGGAGGAAGGUGAGGACGACGUCAAGUCAUCAUGCCCCUUAUAUCCAGGGCUGCACGCAUGCUACAAUGGCCGGUACAACGGGCAGCGACCCCGCGAGGGUGAGCGAAUCCUAAAAAGCCGGUCCUAGUUCGGAUUGAAGUCUGCAACUCGACUUC
rnacentral:rRNA from 1 species